GGAAGCAUAGCUCAGUUGGUAGAGCAGCUGGCUGUUAACCAGCGUGUCGCAGGUUCGAACCCUGCUGUUUCCG
rnacentral:tRNA from 1 species